CCUACGGGUGGCAGCAGUGAGGAAUAUUGGUCAAUGAACGAGAGUCUGAACCAGCCAAGUAGCGUGAAGGAUGACUGCCCUAUGGGUUGUAAACUUCUUUUAUAUGGGAAUAAAAUGUUCCACGUGUGGGAUUUUGUAUGUACCAUAUGAAUAAGGAUCGGCUAACUCCGUGCCAGCAGCCGCGGUAAUACGGAGGAUCCGAGCGUUAUCCGGAUUUAUUGGGUUUAAAGGGAGCGUAGGUGGAUUGUUAAGUCAGUUGUGAAAUUUUGCGGCUCAACCGUAAAAUUGCAGUUGAAACUGGCAGUCUUGAGUACAGUAGAGGUGGGCGGAAUUCGUGGUGUAGCGGUGAAAUGCUUAGAUAUCACGAAGAACUCCGAUUGCGAAGGCAGCUCACUGGACUGCAACUGACACUGAGGCUCGAAAGUGUGGGUAUCAAACAGGAUUAGAUACCCCUGUAGUC
rnacentral:rRNA from 1 species